rnacentral:rRNA from 1 species
UGGGGAAUAUUGGACAAUGGGCGAAAACCUGAUCAAGCAAUGCCGCGUGAGUGAUGAAGGCCUUAGGGUUGUAAAGCUCUUUUACCCGGGAUGAUAAUGACAGUACCGGGAGAAUAAGCUCCGGCUAACUCCGUGCCAGCAGCCGCGGUAAUACGGAGGGAGCUAGCGUUGUUCGGAAUUACUGGGCGUAAAGCGCACGUAGGCGGCUCUGUAAGUUAGAGGUGAAAGCCUGGAGCUUAACUCCAGAACUGCCUUUAAGACUGCAUCGCUUGAAUCCAGGAGAGGUGGGUGGAAUUCCGCGUGUAGAGGUGAAAUUCGUAGAUAUUCGGACGAACACCCGUGGCGAAGGCGACUGCCUGGACAAGUAUUGACGCUGAGGUGCGAGAGCGUGGGGCGCAAACA